CUACGGGAGGCAGCAGUAGGGAAUAUUGGACAAUGGGCGCAAGCCUGAUCCAGCCAUGCCGCGUGAGUGACGAAGGCCUUAGGGUUGUAAAACUCUUUCGACGGGGAAGAUAAUGACGGUACCCGUAGAAGAAGCUCCGGCUAACUUCGUGCCAGCAGCCGCGGUAAUACGAAGGGAGCUAGCGUUGUUCGGAAUUACUGGGCGUAAAGCGCACGUAGGCUGACUUUUAAGUCAGGGGUGAAAUCCCGAGGCUCAACCUCGGAACUGCCUCUGAUACUGGAAGCCUUGAGUUCGGGAGAGGUGAGUGGAAUUCCUAGUGUAGAGGUGAAAUUCGUAGAUAUUAGGAAGAACACCAGUGGCGAAGGCGGCUCACUGGCCCGAUACUGACGCUGAGGUGCGAAAGCGUGGGGAGCAAACAGGAUUAGAAACCCCGGUAGUCC
rnacentral:rRNA from 1 species